rnacentral:tRNA from 1 species
GGAAAGGUGCAAGAGUGGUUGAAUUGGCAGCAUUGGAAAUGCUGUGAGCCUUAACGGGUUCCGUGGGUUCGAAUCCCACCCUUUCCGCCA